rnacentral:rRNA from 1 species
AUCCCUGGUACGGGAUCGCUAGGGUCUAGCAGCG